rnacentral:miRNA from 1 species
ACGAAAAUGUGCAAAAGCUCU